rnacentral:rRNA from 1 species
GGCAGCCUACGGGACGCAGCAGUGAGGAAUAUUGGUCAAUGGGCGCGAGCCUGAACCAGCCAAGUAGCGUGAAGGAUGACUGCCCUACGGGUUGUAAACUUCUUUUAUAAAGGAAUAAAGUGAGGCACGUGUGCCUUUUUGUAUGUACUUUAUGAAUAAGGAUCGGCUAACUCCGUGCCAGCAGCCGCGGUAAUACGGAGGAUCCGAGCUUUAUCCGGAUUUUUUGGGUUUAAAGGGAG